ACGGGGAUUAGUGGCGAACGGGUGAGUAACACGUGGGCAAUCUGCCCUGCACUCUGGGACAAGCCCUGGAAACGGGGUCUAAUACCGGAUAUGACCGUCUGCCGCAUGGUGGAUGGUGUAAAGCUCCGGCGGUGCAGGAUGAGCCCGCGGCCUAUCAGCUUGUUGGUGAGGUAGUGGCUCACCAAGGCGACGACGGGUAGCCGGCCUGAGAGGGCGACCGGCCACACUGGGACUGAGACACGGCCCAGACUCCUACGGGAGGCAGCAGUGGGGAAUAUUGCACAAUGGGCGAAAGCCUGAUGCAGCGACGCCGCGUGAGGGAUGACGGCCUUCGGGUUGUAAACCUCUUUCAGCAGGGAAGAAGCGAAAGUGACGGUACCUGCAGAAGAAGCGCCGGCUAACUACGUGCCAGCAGCCGCGGUAAUACGUAGGGCGCAAGCGUUGUCCGGAAUUAUUGGGCGUAAAGAGCUCGUAGGCGGCUUGUCACGUCGGUUGUGAAAGCCCGGGGCUUAACCCCGGGUCUGCAGUCAAUACGGGCAGGCUUAGAGUUCGGUAGGGGAGAUCGGAAUUCCUUGGUGUAGCGGUGAAAUGCGACAAAUAUCAGGAGGA
rnacentral:rRNA from 1 species